rnacentral:misc_RNA from 1 species
UGUCAAGAGCGGAGUGAUGGGCAGUGUGGCCAAUGCUUGUAGGAUGGUGGGUGCAUUUUAAUUUUCACGGAGCACUAAUGCUGAAGUCACAGGAACGAUGCGCCUACUCGCCAUCGUGAUCCUCCUGUUCUCCGCCACGGCGGCCACGGACGACGACGACGAGGAUGACAUCGUCGACCUGUACGCAAAGGACGACGCCGUCGUGCACAUGGACCACACCAACUUCGACAGCCUGCUGUACGGCAAGCAGCACGUCUGGGUGGUGGAGUUCUACAACAGCUGGUGCGGCCACUGUCAGCUGUACGCGCCCACCUGGCACCGCGUGGCCCAGCAGACGGCCAAAUGGGACCGCGUGGUGAAAGUAGGAGCCAUCAACUGCGCGCGUUCUGAGAACCUGGCCCUCUGUCGGAACUUCGAUAUCGGAGGCUACCCCUGGAUCAAAAUGUUUAAGCCUCUAGCGAAGGAAGGUGAUAUUGGCAAGAUGAAGAAGCACAAACCCCUGGAGGAGAUGCUGGACGUGAUCGUUGACUAUGUGACUGAAGUGCAAAGUGCUAGUCAUCCUCCGCUCUGGCCCAACCUGGCGCCUUUCCAGGGCUCACUCUCGGACAUCAUCGGCUCGCCGCAGCCAGUGCACGCAAUCGUGCUGGACAAAUCCGCCGAGAGCCACGUCGGCCGCCAGCUGAUCCUCGACCUGAGCAGCCAGGAGCAGCGGCUAAAGCUGGUGCGCGUGCUUCAGCCGCCAGCUGGCUUGACGCUGAAAGAGACGGCGCGCCCUCUGCUGGUGACUUACCGGCGAGGCGCGCGCGAAGUGCUCGCCUCGCAUGACGGCCUGCCGCCGCGCCGCGUGUUCGGCGACGCGCUGCGCCGCAUGCUCGGCCUGGCCGCCGAGGAGGUGCCGGCCAACGGCACCGUGUCCACCGCCGACCCGGUGGGUCGGCCGGCGCCGCUCGCCGCCGACGACGGCGUCUUCAUGGUCGACCUGGAGAACACCGUCGGCUACGCGCUGCAGCAUGAGGUUGUGGGCCGCAAGCUGAUCGCCGGCGAGCAGUUGGCGGCGUUACGCGAGUUCGUGCAGCUGCUGGUGACGCACCUGCCCGGCCGGCGGUCGGUGAUGCAGGCUCUGACGGGCGUCAGCGCCCUGCUGAAGGGCCGCCAGCAGAUCAGCGGCGAGGACCUGCAGCAACAUUUGGCGGCGGCCGAGCACCGGCUGCCGGCGCACCGGCCGUGGCGCGGCUGCCGCGGCUCGCAGCCCCAGUUCCGCGGCUACCCGUGCGGUCUCUGGUCGCUGUUCCACACGCUGACGGUGCAUGCGCACCAGCAGGACCCGGCCGCCGCCAGCGUACUGCCCGCCAUACACGGCUACGUCAAGCACUUCUUCAGCUGCGCUCACUGCUCCCAGCACUUCCAGGAGAUGGCCGCGCACGACGGCCUGUUUAAUGUGACGCGCGCCGACCGCGCGGCCGUCUGGCUGUGGACGGCGCACAACAAGGUCAACAAGCGACUGGCCGGCGACGCCACCGAAGACCCUCGCCACCCGAAGUUGCAGUUCCCGACCAGGAAGCAGUGCCAGGCCUGCUUCAGCGGCGACGAGUACUAUCCGGCCAUCGUGCUCUCCUUCCUCGGCAGCUUCUACGGCCAGGACGUGAUCCAGCUGGACGGGCUGUCGACGAACGCGCCGGUGGCGGCGUCGGCGUCGGCGGACGCCGCGGCAGCACGGGUAAAUAAGUCGGCGGGCGCGGCGCCCGUCAGCCUGGCAGGUCUCUAUCUGCUGCACCACCACGUCGCGGGGAUGAAACUGUGACACGGCACCUGCCGUGUGGGGACAGACGGCCAGUGGAACUGUCAGGAAAACAGGUUACAGCAGAUCACGUUUGAAGGCCAAAUUUACUCGCUGAUGACAUUGUGGCCCGCUUCGAUCAUCCUUCAUGGGCUCUGACAUCUGACGUACAGCAUUUGAACCGUUGAAAGCGCGAAAUAAAUUUUAUCCGGUAAGCUCAUGUUGUUUGCGAAGCCCGGUACAAACCGAUGGGGACUUUAACACUGCGCGCAUUCCGCCAAACGCCGAUGCUUAUAGAGCCAGUCCGGUUUGCAGAGCGCGAGGGCAUUACGACAGCAGCCCCACACAUGCUCUGACACCUGUCAUCGUGGACGAUGGCAGGGGUUUUUGUCGCCUUGGACACCGGUCUGUUUCUGAUGUAGGCGCGCUCUCUGAUGCUCCAUGCGGUAUUCGUUGAAUCAUUCGGGCGUCAUUGCCAGCUGACGUCGCCGCUUUGACGCAACCUCUGCUGAUUACCAAGGUGCCAGCUGGCGGCCAGCGCACCCUUCGACUGACGCUGCGCUGCCGACCGUUGGGAUUGGUUUGGAUCUGCACCGCACUGCUGUCGUCUGAGCGAGCUGUGUCCGCCGGACGCCGUCGUGGAGGAGAAGAGCCGGAACCGAGUGGAGGCGGUGGCCCGCCGCGUGCAUCAGAGUCGGCUGGCGGGCCUGCG